rnacentral:tRNA from 1 species
GCGUAUAUGGUGAAGUGGUUAACACAGCGGAUUGUGGCUCCGCCAUGCGCAGGUUCGAUCCCUGUUAUACGCCCCA